UGCAGUCGAACUAGACCUUCGGGUCUAGUGGCGCACGGGUGCGUAACGCGAUGGGAAUCUGCCCUUUGCUACGGAAUAACUCAGAGAAAUUUGUGCUAAUACCGUAUAAUGUCGUAAGACCAAAGAUUUAUCGGCAAAGGAUGAGCCCGCGUAAGAUUAGCUUGUUGGUGGGGUAAAGGCCUACCAAGGCGACGAUCUUUAGCUGGUCUGAGAGGAUGAUCAGCCACACUGGGACUGAGGCACGGCCCAGACUCCUACGGGAGGCAGCAGUGGGGAAUAUUGGACAAUGGGCGAAAGCCUGAUCCAGCAAUGCCGCGUGAGUGAUGAAGGCCUUAGGGUUGUAAAGCUCUUUUACCAGGGAUGAUAAUGACAGUACCUGGAGAAUAAGCUCCGGCUAACUCCGUGCCAGCAGCCGCGGUAAUACGGAGGGAGCUAGCGUUGUUCGGAGUUACUGGGCGUAAAGCGUGCGUAAGCGGCUAUUCAGGUCAGAGGUGAAAGCCUGGAGCUCAACUCCAGAACUGCCUUUGAAGCUAGAUAGCGAGAAAUCUUGGAGAGGUGAGUGUGAAUUCCGAGUGUAGAAGAUGAAAUUUC
rnacentral:rRNA from 1 species